AGUGAACGCUGGCGGUAGGCCUAACACAUGCAAGUCGAACGGCAGCGCAGUAAGAGCUUGCUCUUACGGGUGGCGAGUGGCGGACGGGUGAGGAAUACAUCGGAAUCUACUUUUUCGUGGGGGAUAACGUAGGGAAACUUACGCUAAUACCGCAUACGACCUACGGGUGAAAGCAGGGGAUCUUCGGACCUUGCGCGAUUGAAUGAGCCGAUGUCGGAUUAGCUAGUUGGCGGGGUAAAGGCCCACCAAGGCGACGAUCCGUAGCUGGUCUGAGGGGAUGAUCACCCACACUGGAACUGAGACACGGUCCAGACUCCUACGGGAGGCAGCAGUGGGGAAUAUUGGACAAUGGGCGCAAGCCUGAUCCAGCCAUACCGCGUGGGUGAAGAAGGCCUUCGGGUUGUAAAGCCCUUUUGUUGGGAAAGAAAAGCAGCAGGUUAAUACCCCGCUGUUCUGACGGUACCCAAAGAAUAAGCACCGGCUAACUUCGUG
rnacentral:rRNA from 1 species